AAUCCCAUUGUUUUCUCCCUUUGAAAGGUGGUUAUUUUAUCAGGGAGGCAUCCCCUCCUGCAGCUGUUCAGGCGUUGCCUUACUGCACUUCUCUCUUCAGUUUUGAAAUAUUAUUUCCUUCUUGCUUAAAUGCCACGCAGGUAAAAACUUUUGUUGAUGGGAAAUGGCAUCGUGGGUGAGGGCGUUGUUUCUUGCCCAACUUCCUGGGCUCUCUCCUGGGUGGUGAAGGCUGAUGGUGAGAACGGGUGCGACUCUGGACGCUUGCCUGUAUUUUUCUGAAGGAGUCUUGAGCUCUGAGUGUCAACCAGCAGCUGCGGAGGCAAACGCUUAUCUGUUUAUUUCCUAACAUAUUGUGCUGUUAAUCUCAACUCAACUGUCUACCAGUGGAACUGCUCUUGAGCACAGGCUCCGGACGCGCAGGCUCAGCGGCCAUGGCUCACAGGCCCAGCCGCUCCGCGCCAUGUGGGAUGUUCCCGGACUGGGGCACGAACCCGCAUCCCCUGCAUCAGCAGGUGGACUCUCAACCACUGCGCCACCAGGGAAGCCCUACGGGGGCAUUCUUGAUCCAGGUGCUGAUCUCGGGGCUGGGGGAAGAGACGAUUAGCGGCCACCGUGGAGCAGUAGAUAAUUGUGACCCCGUGCUUCUGCCAUCUUCCUGUCCCCACACUUGUCACUAAUAUAUUGCGUUGUUCAUUUUGCCA